ACAAUGUCACAGUGGUUAUACAAGUGAGUCCUGUUCAGCGUGGGAGGAAAUAACACAAGAGGCAAAGAUCACUCGGGACCACCUUGUAUAUUGGCUACCACAGAACCCAACACAAGCAGUAAGUUAAAAUCAUGAAGCUCCUGACGUCAGAGGACAUGGCUCUGCCAUUUGUUAGGUAGGGAUCCUGUUAAAGGCUCAGCUUCCUCAUCUGGAAAUGGAAAUAUAGGCCUUGCCUGGUUUGCUGUAAUGGGUCGUGAUGAGGACCAAACUACAAAGAGUGGUACAGAUGUUAAUUACAAUGAUUUUUCCUAUGCCACCCAUGGAAACAAAAAUAGCAAGAUAGAGAAGGCUAAAUCCCAGUUUUUUUUGACUGCUAUUCAGCAAAGCCUAGGAGACUUUCAUGACACCUGGAGAGGCGGCCGUAGUGUAUGUGUAAGAGUACCGGUUCCAGAGUGGGGCUCCCCGAGCUCAGCCCCACCACUUACCAACAGCGGACCUUGGGCCAGAUGCUGAAGCCCUUUGUGCCUUGGUUUCCUGACCUAUUACUGUGGAAAUGAUGACAGUACCCUCCUCAUGGCAUCGUGAGAAUUAAAUUAGCUAAUUCAGGUGAAGCAUUUAGAAGAGGACCUCCUGACACUUAAUAACUGCUUGAUAUAAAUAAUAGCUUCUGCUACAGAGUGGCCAUGAAGUCUGGACAUGUAGAUAUUAUAUUAUCAUGCAUCAUAAGGUAGUUGAUCUGGUGUGAGAUUCCAACCUCGUGUGAGAGAGGAGAAGACCUUCAUUACACUAAUUCAUGCUGGCCCAGCCUCCAGGCCACCCCAGAUGUGAGGUGCUGUUAACACUGCUCUCAGAUGGAGUCUCGCUCUGUUGUCCAGGCUGGAGUGCAGUGGGGCGAUCUCGGCUCACUGCAACCUCUGCCUCCUGGGUUCAAGUGAUUCUCCUGCCUCAGCCUCCCAAGUAGCGGGGACUACAGGUGAGCACCACCAUGCCCGGCUAAUUUUUGUAUUUUUAGUAGAGACGGGGUUUCACUGUGUUAGCCAGGAUGGUCUCGAUCUCCUGACCUUGUGAUCCGCCCUCCUCGGCCUCCCAAAGUGCUGGGAUUACAGGCGUGAGCCACCGUGCCCAGCCCAGGCUGUGCUCUUUUAUGUCUAUGUUGUUUCCUUCACACUUACGUUUCUGUGAUUCAUCCACUAGGUAGUGUACAGCAUUGCUUGUUCAUCCCAGUGCCGUGUGGAAUUCUGUUGUGUAAAUACAGCACAAUCUGUGUAUGCACUCUCAUGUUGCCUCACAUUUCAGUGGUUUCUGGCUUUCAUUUUUUACAAAUAGCACUGCAAUGAAUGCUGCUGCACACGCUGUUGAGCUCGUGGACACUUUCCUGCUGGGUGAGGACCCGAACGUGAAAUUGCUGGGUCAUGGAUUCAAGUGCUACACAUAUUUUUGACCACAUUACUGUGACUCAGGAAGCCCAGGAACAGAAUUCUAGGCACCAGAACCAUACAUGUUACAGCCUCUGAGCUUUAUGGCCUCUGAGCCAUUUGUCCAGCCACAUCAUUUGCAGAUGAGAUCCUGAGACUCAGGCUGGAAAAGUGACCGGGGAAAAGUCACACAAGUCAGAGGCAGAGCUGGAGUUUCCUCAUUUCCAGGCCCGUAUAGAUCAAGACGGACGUUGGUCAAACACCUCCUAGUACUCACAUGAAGAAGCUCUCCUUUCUGCUGUAGGAAUGAUCACACACCAUUCCAAUCUGGAUACCAAAUGUCAUUGUUUAUUAAAUGUGUGCAGUGUGCCAGGCAUAUUGUGUCAUAUGUUUACAUGUGUCAUAUAUUUACAUUACAUAUGAUCGCUGGUUCUUACAACAACCCUUCAAGACAGGUCAUAUCAAGCCCAUUUUUCAGACGGGAAAAAGAGCUCAGAGGGGAUGAUUAGCUUGUUCAGGUUUUCCAGUUUCCUUAGGAAGUGGCAGAGCUGGAUCUGAACUCUGCUUGUGACUACUUGGGGGAUGGAGGAGUGAACUCCUUUUUAUCAGAUCCUGGCUGCUUCGGCACCAGAAGAAUGCUUCUUCCCCC
rnacentral:lncRNA from 1 species